UCGAGUGGCCCACAUGUUCCC
rnacentral:siRNA from 1 species